rnacentral:rRNA from 1 species
UAGUGCUAAGGUAGCAUAAUAAUUUGUCUCCUAAAUGAAGACUAGAACAAAAGAUUUAACAUUUUAAUAUAAUCUUAAAUCUAUUAAUUAAAACUAUACUAAAUGUAAAAAUACAUCUAUAAAAUAGAUAGACGACAAGACCCUACUGAACUUAACUGAAGUUAUACUGGGGUAGUAAUAAAAUAAUAAUUUUUAUAAUUUAUAUAAAAUUAUAUCCAAAAAUGAUAAUCAAGUUACCAUAGGGAUAACAGUAUAAUAUAUAUUUAAAGACCUAAUAUAAAUAUAUGAUUAUAACCUCGAUGUUGAAUUAAUAACCUUUAUAAUGAAAAAAUUAUAUAAGAAAGUCUGUUCGACUUAUAAAUAAUUACAUGAUUUGAGUUCAGACCGGUAUAAGCCAGGUCGGUUUCAAUCUUCUAUAAAUUUAUAUACAGUACGAAAGGACCUAUUUAUAUAAUAUUAUUAUAUAUUUAGCAAAAU